rnacentral:lncRNA from 1 species
UAAGGAUUUAAAAAUAUUAAUCGAAUGCCAGAUCAAUGGCCAGAUGCCAGAAGAAAACUUUGCUUGUCAAAAGUUAUAGAAUUGAAAGAAUUGGGGGGAAACUAGGAAUUGAUGGGUAGAAGUAACAAAGGAGAAGAUUUAGGCCGGAUGCCAAGAAUGAGGGCUACUUUGAGAAGAAAUGGGCUUUCUUUGGAGGUCUUCAAGCAAAUUCUGUGUGCAAAGCCGCCAUCUUAUAAGUUUCAUGUUGGGCAGGCAGAGGCAUUCAGAAGAGAACACAGGGAAGCUGCUUUUGGGGAUUGUUGAUUCGGUGGAGUCUGAAAGGCUCCCAAAUCCUAGGAACUUGGAGCGGACCCAGAACUCUAAAAGAAGCCCCAGGAGGCGAGGCGAGGCAAGAUUUACACAGAAUGAUAUUAAUGAAAAAAGGCACACCCUUGCUUCAGCUUCAAAAAACCAAGAGGAGAUGAAUAACAAAAUGAAAGAACACAUUUUGCCCAAACUUCAACCCCGACUUUCAAUGACAAUGCCUAUAAAGAAUGAGCAGUUGCUGUACCUUCUGGAGGGCAACAUUUACAGCAUAUCACAUGAACUCAUUGCUGGACCACAGGACAGAACGCCAAGAAGACUAGAAUGA